rnacentral:rRNA from 1 species
AACGAACGCUGGCGGCGUGCCUAACACAUGCAAGUCGUGCGAGAAAGUCACUUCGGUGGCGAGUAGAGCGGCGCACGGGUGAGUAACACGUGGGUAACCUGCCCUCGAGUCUGGGAUAACCCGGGGAAACCCGGGCUAAUACCGGAUACGGCCGUGAGGUCUUCGGAUCUCGCGGAGAAAGGCGGCGCUCCUUCGGGAGCUUUCGCUCGAGGAUGGGCCUGCGUCCCAUUAGCUAGUUGGCGAGGUAACGGCCCACCAAGGCAAAGAUGGGUAGCGGGGCUGAGAGGAAGGCCAGCCACACUGGAACUGAGACACGGUCCAGACUCCUACGGGAGGCAGCGGUGGGGAAUUUUGGGCAAUGGGCGAAAGCCUGACCCAGCAACGCCGCGUGUGGGAUGAAGGCCCUCGGGUCGUAAACCACUGUCAGGAGGAAAGAACGGCCGGCCGGAUAAUACUCGGUCGGUUUGACGGUACCUCCAAAGGAAGCGCCGGCUAACUCCGUGCCAGCAGCCGCCGUAACAC